UGUUCUGUGGCUUAGCUGGUUACAGCGCCAGACUUGCGAUACAGAGUCGUGGGUUCGAAUCCCAACAAAACAA
rnacentral:tRNA from 1 species